rnacentral:rRNA from 1 species
GGUUGCGAUCAUACCAGCACUAAUGCACCGGAUCCCAUCAGAACUUCGCAGUUAAGCGUGCUUGGGCGAGAGUAGUACUAGGAUGGGUGACCCCUUGGGAAGUCCUCGUGUUGCAACCC